UCAGGCUCAGCUCUGUCUCGAGCUCUCCGGAGUCCAGACUCUUCCGCCUCCCACCACCCGUUGCCAGAUCCGAUCCAGCGAGCUCCGGCUCCCCGCCGCCUUGUGCAUAGGAUGAGACCUCCAGGCCGACCUCCCCUACCCUCAGAUGCUGGCCACGGCGAACAGUAACGCGCGGCGGAGGAGGCAACAGGUCGCGUCUUCCACUUGGGGACGAGGCCGGCAGAGCCGGCGCGGCGGCGAGGCUGAUAGACGGGAAGAGGGCGGCCCCUGGUGGAGGAGGCAGCAACCUUUUCCUUCCUCAUGGGGACGCUGCCGGAGGAGCUGGCGGAUGGGAAGAGGGCGGCGCCCGAGCGGAGGAGGCAGCAGUCGGAGCAUGCGGGCGAGAUCGAAGGAGCUCGCGGCGAGACUGGAGGGAAGCGCGGAGGAGAGGCAGCGGUGCGCGAGCACGAGACGAGGCGUAUAGGAUGGACAAGCUCGCCGCGUACAUGACGGGAAAGCUCGUCGGCACUGUUAUCAAGUACGGCGUUCAGGUUGGUAGACUUGAGCGUGCAAAAGGGCAACAAAGGGUGAGGCAGGCAGCACUUUGUAUUGUUUUGUCGAAAAAGAGCAGACUUCAUCAUGGGGUAUCUACUUUGAACUUACACCAGCUGCAUACUCCUUGCUCACAAACAAGUUUGGGUACCCGCUUGUGCUGGCAUGGCCGCGGCUCCACAAGGCCAUGCUCGACCCCAUCGGCGCUGAGCCCUUCGCGGGCACAUAGGCUGGCGCCAGGACCGGAAGGCGAACGAGGUGAUGCUCGACGAUGAACAUCUGCUCGAGGACAUCCUGCUCGAUGAUGCUCUUCGUAGCUAGCAUCUCCAACGCGUGUAUGAGCCAAAGCUAUUUCCUGGUCUGAUUUCUCCUAGGUGUACUCUGCUUUCUGGUGUCUGAUCUGAUGGCAAGAAUAUUGUGUCGACUAUCAACCUGGACUUUAAAUUGGAUCUGAAAGCAAUAGCUCUCCAGGCACGCAAUGCAGAGUAUAACCACAAGUAUGAGCCAAAGCUAUUUCCUGGUCUGAUUUCUCCUAGGUGUACUCUGCUUUCUGGUGUCUGAUCUGAUGGCAAGAAUAUUGUGUCGACUAUCAACCUGGACUUUAAAUUGGAUCUGAAAGCAAUAGCUCUCCAGGCACGCAAUGCAGAGUAUAACCACAAGAGCAUGCCUACCAUGAGAUGAAUAUUACAAGACUGAUUGGGCCGAGAAGGCUGAGAAAGAUCAUCAUGAUGGUGCUGGUAAACAUCUUGGGUUGGUUGGCUGGAUUAUACAUUCACUCUCGAUGGAAAUCCCCAACCAGAAUGUACAUUUUCUAAACCAGGAGAAUACCAAAGAAGAAAUUCUGAUUUGUGGUUGGUGGGAUAUCAAUCCACAUAUUACAUUGAUUCUAAACCCAGAACCAACACUACAAGCACAACAUUAAGUUUAUGGGUUCGAAAGGUACAUCAAAAGUAUCUACAAACAGUUUAACUUCGAAACAAGAGAUUGAGAUGCAUGUCCGUAUGUAGGUUUAGUUGUUUUCUUAGAAAUGAAAGUAGGAGAGACCCUUACUGUUCAAUUAGGCCAUAGAAAAAACAAGUCCAUUUCUCUUGUCAAGCAAAAUAACUCAAGAAGCUAAUUAAUAGUGCAAACGGAGCUUACUUUUUUCUAAGGAAAUUAUUUGCUUCACAUGACAUUUGUUCCUGCAAUAUUAUAAUUAUAAUUCAAUGUAUUGUUGGUAAUAGGCAAAUUUAUAUCUGAACAAAUUCUAUGAGAAAGCAACGGGGCUCCCUGAAACUACACGGCUCCCUGAAACUACACAUUAUACCCUUUGUGUUAGUCAAGAUCAAAAAAUAGCUAGGCAUUGAUAAUCAUGAUUGUACCUUAUAAUCAAGUUAUUUGUUGCGUUGAUGUCUGGGUUAAAGUAUAUCCGAGACUGCUCAGUCGUACCCAAGAUAGCAUCUGAAAUUCAGUGCAUACAAUCAGAGGCAUGUUACCUCCAGAAAUCCCUAUCAAAACACACUGGUUUCCUUCCCCGCAUUACAUAUGCCAAAAGAGACUAAGCAUAGCCUUAACCCAUUUAGUUGUCUAGAUAACCAGAUUAAAUCAUAAGCAUUACAUGGUUCUUAUUCCAGUGAAAAGGAAUACCGUUGAAUAAUGAUUACCAAUGCAUAUGUCAGCAUGCAUAAUACAGAAACCACACGUUUAAUCAUUUAGGGGGGGCAGAUACAUUUGUUUUUAGAGCCUACAGAUG